CCUACGGGUGGCAGCAGUGAGGAAUAUUUGUCAAUGGCCGCAGGGCUGAACCAGCCAAGUCGCGUGAGGGAUGACGGUCCUAUGGAUUGUACACCUCUUUUGUCAGGGAGCAAAGGGCGCCACGUGUGGCGUUUUGCGAGUACCUGAAGAAAAAGCAUCGGCUAACUCCGUGCCAGCAGCCGCGGUAAUACGGAGGAUGCGAGCGUUAUCCGGAUUUAUUGGGUUUAAAGGGUGCGCAGGCGGAAGAUUAAGUCAGCGGUAAAAUUGAGUGGCUCAACCUCUUCGAGCCGUUGAAACUGGUUGUCUUGAGUGAGCGAGAAGUAUGCGGAAUGCGUGGUGUAGCGGUGAAAUGCAUAGAUAUCACGCAGAACUCCGAUUGCGAAGGCAGCAUACCGGCGCUCAACUGACGCUCAUGCACGAAAGUGUGGGUAUCGAACAGGAUUAGAUACCCCAGUAGUC
rnacentral:rRNA from 1 species